rnacentral:tRNA from 1 species
UGGCCCGUGGUGUAACGGCAGCACAGGGGUCUUUGGAACCCUUAGUCAUGGUUCGAAUCCAUGCGGGCCAG